GAUGAACGCUGGCGGCGUGCCUAAUACAUGCAAGUCGAGCGGACGUGCGCGAAGCUUGCUUCUCUGAUGUUAGCGGCGCACGGGUGAGUAACACGUGGAUAACCUACCUUUAAGUCGGGGAUAACUUCUGGAAACGGGAGCUAAUCCCGAAUAAUCUUUUGAACCGCCUUGUUCAUCAGUGAAAUGCGGUCUUUCGGUCACUGAUGGAUGGAUCCGCGCUUCCUUAGUUAGUUGGUAAGGUAACGGCCUACCAAGGGCACGAUGCAUAGCCGCCCUGAGAGGGUGGUCGGCCACACGGGAACUGAGACACGGUCCAGACUCCUGGGGGAGGACGCAGUAGGGACUCCUCCGCAACGGGGGAAAGCCUGACGGAGCAACGCCGCGUGAGUGAUGAAGGUCUUCGGCUCGUAAAACUCUGUUAUUAGGGAAGAACAUAUGUGUAAGUAACUGUGCACAUCUUGACGGUACCUAAUAAGAAAGCCACGGCUAACUACGUG
rnacentral:rRNA from 1 species